rnacentral:tRNA from 8 species
GGGUAAGUACUCAAGUGGUCGAAGAGGCGGUCCUGCUAAGACUGUAGGGGUGUAUAAAGCACCCGCGGAGGUUCAAAUCCUCUCUUACCCGCCA